UACGGGGGGGGGCAAGCGUUGUUCGGAAUUACUGGGCGUAAAGGGCUCGUAGGUGGCCAACUAAGUCAGACGUGAAAUCCCUCGGCUUAACCGGGGAACUGCGUCUGAUACUGGAUGGCUAGAGUUUGGGAGAGGGAUGCGGAAUUCCAGGUGUAGCGGUGAAAUGCGCAGAUAUCAGGAGGAACACCGAUGGCGAAGGCAGGUCUCUGGGCCACUACUGACGCUGAGAAGCGAAAGCAUGGGGAGCGAACAGG
rnacentral:rRNA from 1 species